rnacentral:rRNA from 1 species
CCUACGGGAGGCAGCAGUGAGGAAUAUUGGUCAAUGGCCGGAAGGCUGAACCAGCCAUGCCGCGUGAAGGUCAGUGCCCUAUGGGCGUUAAACUUCUUUUGUGCGGGAGCAAUAAUGGUCACGUGUGGCCAGACGAGAGUACCGUACGAAUAAGCAUCGGCUAACUCCGUGGCAGCAGCCGCGGUAAUACGGGGGAUGCAAGCGUUAUCCGGAUUUAUUGGGGUUAAAGGGUGCGUAGGCUGUGAGGUAAGUCAGCGGUGAAAUGCCCCCGCUCAACGGGGUGAAGUGCAAUUGAUACUGCCUUGCUGGAGUGCGGAUGCCGUGGGAGGAAUGUGUGGUGUAGCGGUGAAAUGCAUAGAUAUCACGCAGAACACCGAUUGCGAAGGCAUCUCACGAAUCCGCGAUUGACGCUGAUGCACGAAAGCGUGGGUAUCAAACAGGAUUAGAUACCCCGGUAGUC